AGAAUGAACGCUGGCGGCGUGCUUAACACAUGCAAGUCGAACGAGGCGGAGGGGGGCAACCCCUCCAGUCGAGUGGCGGACGGGUGAGUAACACGUGGGUAACCUGCCCGGAAGUGGGGAAUACCUCGGGGAAACUCGAGCUAAUACCGCAUGACAUCUUCGGGACGAGAGUCCUGACGAUCAAAGCGGGGCCGCAAGGCCUCGCGCUCCCGGAUGGGCCCGCGCCCGAUUAGCUAGUUGGCGAGGUAACGGCUCACCAAGGCUUCGAUC
rnacentral:rRNA from 1 species